rnacentral:tRNA from 1 species
GUAGAUAUAGUUUAAAAAAAACUCAGGAUUGUGGGACCUGAAAUGUAGAUACUACUAUUUACC